AACAAGGUUUCCGUAGGUGAACCUGCGGAAGGAUCAUUGUCGAAACCUGCCCAGCAGAAAGACCCGCGAACAUGUUCACCUCGACGUGCGGGGAGGGGUGCCUCGGUCCCCCCGCCCCGAGCCGGGAGCAAUCCCCCGGCGCAGCAACGAAACCCCGGCGCGAACCGCGCCAAGGAACACGAACUCAUGGCGUGCCCGCCCGCCCGCGCCCGGUACCGCCGGCGCGCGGGGGCGGCACCUGUCCCUACUUAGAAACGUAACGACUCUCGGCAACGGAUAUCUCGGCUCUCGCAUCGAUGAAGAACGUAGCGAAAUGCGAUACUUGGUGUGAAUUGCAGAAUCCCGUGAACCAUCGAGUCUUUGAACGCAAGUUGCGCCCGAAGCCUUCCGGCCGAGGGCACGUCUGCCUGGGCGUCACGCAUCGCGCCUCCCCCCCCGCCCGCCGGGGGGGAAGGAUGAUGGCCUCCCGUGCCCCCAGCCGUGGGCGCGGCUGGCCCAAAACGGGAGCCCGCGGGGACGCGCUGCGGCGGCGACUGGUGGUGGACGAGGCCUUGAGUGGCCGCCGUUUGCAUCGCGCCGCGCACGCACGCCGCCGGGAGGGGCUCGUCGGACCCAUAAGGUGUGCUGAAGGCACAAAACCGUUGCGACCCCAGGUUCAGGCGGGGCUACCCGCUGAGUUUAAGCAUAUCAA
rnacentral:rRNA from 1 species